rnacentral:rRNA from 1 species
CCUACAGGAGGCAGCAGUGGGGAAUAUUGCACAAUGGGGGAAACCCUGAUGCAGCGACGCCGCGUGAGUGAAGAAGUAUCUCGGUACGUAAAGCUCUAUCAGCAGGGACGAAAAUGACGGUACCUGACUAAGAAGCCCCGGCUAACUACGUGCCAGCAGCCGCGGUAAUACGUAGGGGGCAAGCGUUAUACGGAUUUACUGGGUGUAAGGGGGACGUAGAGGGCAGCACAAGUCUGGAGUGAACUCCCGGGGCUUAACCCCGGGACUGCUUUGGAAACUGGGCGGCUGGAGUGCAGGAGGGGCAAGCGGAAUUCCUAGUGUAGCGGUGAAAUGCGUAGAUAUUAGGAGGAACACCGGUGGCGAAGGCGGCUUACUGGACUGUAACUGACGUUGAGGCUCGAAAGCGUGGGGAGCAAACAGGAUUAGAUACCCCAGUAGUC